GAUGAACGCUGGCGGCGUGCCUAACACAUGCAAGUCGAACGAACAGUUGACGACCUUGCUUCUCUGACGUUAGUUGCUGACGGGUGAGUAACACGUGGAUAACCUACCUAUAAGACUGGGAUCACUUCGGGAAACAGGAGAGCAUACCGGAUCAUAUAUUGACCCACAUGGUUCAAUAGUUAAAGACGGUUUUGCUAUAACCUAUGGAUGGAUCCGCGUCGCAUUAGCUAGUUGGUAAGGUAACGGCUUACCAAGGCAACUAUGCGUAGCCGACCUGAGAGGGAGGUCCACCAGCCGAGAUCUGAGGCAGGGUCGAGACACCGAGGGUGAGCAGCAGUAGGGAAUCUUACGCGAGGGGGGAGAGCCUGACGGAGCAAAGCCGCGUGAGCGAUGAAGGUGUGCGGAUCGUAAAGCUCUGUUAUUAGGGAUGAACUAAUGUGUAAGUAACAAUGCACGUCGUGACGGUACCUAACCAGAAAGCCACGGCUAACUACGUG
rnacentral:rRNA from 1 species